UGAAAUUCUAACACAAACAUGGGAAAUUGCAGGUUGGCUCAGUAGACAAUCGGGUAUAUUAUUAUGAUUUGAGGAACACCAUAAUUUCUCUUCAUAUCAUUAGCGGUCUACAAAAAACCAUUUCAUUUGAAAAGUUCUUGCGAAACGAUGAGCUUGCAUCAGACAACAUUUUUCCCUUGUGGGACGUGAAACAAGAUCUUCCUGUUCAUACCUUUGGUGGUGGUAUCUCACAGGAUUUCCAAGGAAUCCUGCCGACUACGAGAGCGAAGCCUCUUUUAGUUUCCUAGUGGAAUCGGACUAUGACGAGAGUGAAGGCUCACCACCAGAUUUCCAAGGAAAUCCAA